AGUGAACGCUGGCGGCGUGCCUAACACAUGCAAGUCGAACGAGAACGGAUUUAAGUUUACUUAAAUUGUCAGCUAAGUGGCGCACGGGUGAGUAAUGUAUAGUUAACCUGCCCUCUAGAAAGGAAUAACAGUUAGAAAUGAUUGCUAAUGCCUUAUAUGCCUUUUUAACAUAAGUUAGUAAAGGGAAAUGCUUUAGUGCUAGAGGAUGGGACUGUAUAGUAUCAGAUAGUUGGUGGGGUAAUGGCCUACCAAGUCAAUGACGCUUAACUGGUUUGAGAGGAUGAUCAGUCACACUGGAACUGAGACACGGUCCAGACUCCUACGGGAGGCAGCAGUGGGGAAUAUUGCACAAUGGACGAAAGUCUGAUGCAGCAACGCCGCGUGGAGGAUGACACAUUUCGGUGCGUAAACUCCUUUUAUGUAGGAAGAUAAUGACGGUACUAUAUGAAUAAGCACCGGCUAACUCCGUGCCAGCAGCCGCGGUAAUACGGAGGGUGCAAGCGUUACUCGGAAUCACUGGGCGUAAAGAGCAUGUAGGCGGAUUGAUAAGUUUGAAGUGAAAUCCUAUAGCUUAACUAUAGAACUGCUUUGAAAACUGUUAAUCUAGAGUAUGGGAGAGGUAGAUGGAAUUUCUGGUGUAGGGGUAAAAUCCGUAGAGAUCAGAAGGAAUACCGAUUGCGAAGGCGAUCUACUGGAACAUUACUGACGCUCAGAUGCGAAAGCGUGGGGAGCAAACAGG
rnacentral:rRNA from 1 species